GCGCCCGUAGCUCAGCUGGAUAGAGUGCCGGAUUCCGGUUCCGUAGGUCGGAGGUUCGAAUCCUCUCGGGCGUGCCA
rnacentral:tRNA from 1 species